UAUGGCCCCAGUGCUCCCAGUAUGGCCCCAAUAUGCCCCCAGUGCUCCCAGUAUGGCCCCAAUACAGCCCCAGUGCUCCCAGUACGGCCCCAGUACAGCCCCAGUGCUCCCAGUAUGGCCCCAGUUCUCCCAGUAUGGCCCCAGUAUGGCCCCAGUGCUCCCAGUAUGGCCCCAAUACGACCCCAGUAUGGCCCCAUUACUCCCAAUACGGCCCCAAUACAACCCCAAUUCUCCCAGUACGGCCCCAAUACGACCCCAACCCCUCCCAGUUGAUCCCAGUUUGUCCCAGUUCUCACCUCCCCGUGGCCUCGGCAGUGCCGGCCCGCGUUGGCGAUCACCUGCUCAUCGCUCAGCUCCCCGUAGGGCUGCUCCCUGCACCGGGUCAGCACCUCCCACAGCGUCACCCCAAAAGCCCACGCGUCGCUGGCAGGGGUGAAGGUGCCCUAAAGGGAAAGGGGGAGAGGGGAGAAAAGACCCCAUAAUCCCAUUAUCCACCCCAUAACUCCAUAAUCCCCACCCUCACCCCGUUACGCAGCCCACAACCCUACAACCCCCACCCUGACCCCAAAAUCCCAUUACCCACCUCAUAACCCC
rnacentral:lncRNA from 1 species